AUUGAACGCUGGCGGAAUGCUUUACACAUGCAAGUCGAACGGUAACAGGUCUUCGGAUGCUGACGAGUGGCGAACGGGUGAGUAAUAUAUCGGAACGUGCCCAGUCGUGGGGGAUAACGUAGCGAAAGUUACGCUAAUACCGCAUACGAUCUAUGGAUGAAAGCGGGGGAUCGCAAGACCUCGCGCGAUUGGAGCGGCCGAUAUCAGAUUAGGUAGUUGGUGGGGUAAAGGCCCACCAAGCCAACGAUCUGUAGCUGGUCUGAGAGGACGACCAGCCACACUGGAACUGAGACACGGUCCAGACUCCUACGGGAGGCAGCAGUGGGGAAUUUUGGACAAUGGACGCAAGUCUGAUCCAGCCAUUCCGCGUGCAGGAUGAAGGCCCUCGGGUUGUAAACUGCUUUUGUACGGAACGAAAAGGUCUCUAUUAAUACUAGGGGCUCAUGACGGUACCGUAAGAAUAGGCACCGGCUAACUACGUGCCAGCCGCCGCGGUAAUAC
rnacentral:rRNA from 1 species